GUGCUCACUUUGGCCGCACAUAUACUAAAAUUGGAAUGAUACAGAGAAGAUUAGCAUGGCCCCUGCACAAGGAUGACACACAAAUUCAUGAAGUGUUCCAUUUUUUU
ensembl:snRNA U6 U6 spliceosomal RNA